AACGGGCUUUGCAGAAAGCAA
rnacentral:sRNA from 1 species